AGAGUUUGAUCCUGGCUCAGAACGAACGCUGGCGGCGUGCCUAACACAUGCAAGUCGAACGUGAUCCGGAGCUUGCUCCGGUGAAAGUGGCGCACGGGUGAGUAACGCGUGGAUAAUCUGCCUGAUGCUCUGGGAUAACAUCUCGAAAGGGGUGCUAAUACCGGAUAAGCCCACGGGGUCUUCGGACCUUGCGGGAAAAGAGGGGGACCUUCGGGCCUCUUGACAUCAGAUGAGUCCGCGUCCCAUUAGCUAGUUGGUGGGGUAAAGGCCUACCAAGGCGACGAUGGGUAGCUGGUCUGAGAGGAUGAUCAGCCACACUGGAACUGAGACACGGUCCAGACUCCUACGGGAGGCAGCAGUGGGGAAUUUUGCGCAAUGGGGGAAACCCUGACGCAGCAACGCCGCGUGAGUGAUGAAGGCCUUCGGGUCGUAAAGCUCUGUCAGAGGGAAAGAAAUGUGGGCAGCUAAUAUCUGUUCCACUUGACGGUACCCUCAGAGGAAGCACCGGCUAACUCCGUGCCAGCAGCCGCGGUAAUACGGAGGGUGCGAGCGUUGUUCGGAAUUAUUGGGCGUAAAGCGCGUGUAGGCGGUUUGCUCAGUCUGAUGUGAAAGCCCUGGGCUCAACCUGGGAAGUGCAUUGGAUACUGGCAGACUUGAGUACGGGAGAGGGUAGUGGAAUUCC
rnacentral:rRNA from 1 species